GGUUCGAAUAUAUUUUGUAACAUCCUACAAAAUCCAUUGAGUAUUUUACAUUUUGGACCGGGUAUGGAACGGGUUUGGUUUAAAUUUUGGAUUACAGAUUUUAUGUCCAUACCUACCUGAUGGUUUUUGCUUUGUUACUGGUGGUGGUGGUUGAGGCGUCUCGGUGCAAGUUCAGAUCCAUUGAGGAAAAGAUCCAGUUUGCUUCCUCAAGAGCGUUUUUUUCUCUUUCUUUUGUCGGUCACCUUCUCCAAAUCUAUUGUCGUCACAAGUGGUGAAGGGGAGUAGCGGUGAUUCGGUGUGUUGCAGUUUGUUCGCUUUAGAGAUCCGGAUGGUGGUGAUGGUCGUCUUGGUGUUCUCUUGUAUCAUGUUCUUUCGGAAGUGAUGUGGUCUCUUCCGACUUUUGUGGUGGCUCGAUGGUUUGUCUCUUCUCUGCUUGCCGGUGGCUCGUUGGAGGGUUCAUUUUCGCACUGCACGACGGCUAGGGUUUCUUAAAACCAUUUUCUUUACAUUUAUUUUUAAAUCAAAAUCUGAUUAAAAAUCUAAUUAACUUUUAA